GACAACCCGAGAGAUCGGGCGUUCCCCGUUCGGGGGACAGGGUGACAGGUGGUGCAUGGUUGUCGUCAGCUCGUUGUCGUGAGAUUGUUGGGUUAAGUCCCGCAACGAGCGCAACCCUCGACCUUAGUUGCCAGCAUUCAGUUGGGCACUCUAAGGUGACUGCCGGCUAAAAGUCGGAGGAAGUGGGGAUGACGUCAAAUCAUCAUGCCCCUUAUGACCUGGGCUACACACGUGCUACAAUGGGCGGUACAAAGGGUCGCGAACCCGCGAGGGGGAGCCAAUCCCAAAAAGCCGCUCUCAGUUCGGAUUGCAGGCUGCAACUCGCCUGCAUGAAGCCGGAAUCGCUAGUAAUCGCGGAUCAGCAUGCCGCGGUGAAUACGUUCCCGGGCCUU
rnacentral:rRNA from 1 species